rnacentral:rRNA from 1 species
UACGUUGGGGGCAAGCGUUGUCCGGAUUUACUGGGCGUAAAGAGCGCGUAGGCGGAGAUCUAAGCGUGGCCUGAAAGCCCCCGGCUCAACCGGGGAGUGCGGCUGCGAACUGGGUUUCUUGAGGACGAUAGAGGAGAGUGGAAUUCCUGGUGUAGCGGUGAAAUGCGUAGAUAUCAGGAGGAACACCCGAGGCGAAGGCGGCUCUCUGGGUCGUACCUGACGCUGAGGCGCGAAAGCGUGGGGAGCGAACGGG